rnacentral:lncRNA from 1 species
UUUUUUACUACUAUAACUAUUAUUUUUCUAUUAUAUUUUUUUAUUGAGUUAUCGAUUAUUGUGCGCAACAUUUCCAUAACUAAAAUCAUUCACUUAUACUCCGUAUUUUUUUUUCUUUUUUUUCAAUUUCGUUAAUUUAUUUUGAUUUUUUCAUCAGCAUAUAGUUUUAUGAAAUAAUCAAAGAAUGCAGUUAAUGUAUGGUAUUAUCCUAACCGUUAUAGUAAUUCAUUCCUGUUUUAUAUUUUUAUUUUAAAUUCGCUAAUGUAUUGCAAUAUAAAAUGUCUUGUAACUAUAAGAGUAACUGUGUUCUUCAUUAUAUUGCAAAUGUUACUAUGGGAAAAGGCAAAUGAAAAUUUUAAAAUCUUGGGACGUUGACAGUUCAAAUUUCUUUAUGAAAUUAUUAUUAUUUUUUGUUAUCUUUUCUAUUUUAUUUUAUUUUAUUGCAAUUUAUUUCCAUAAUAUUGAGAAUUGAGUUUUUGUCUUAUUUUAUUUUUUAAUAUAUUUUUUUUCUUCAGAGAUCCUAUAUUUUUUAUAUUGAGAGGGUGUUUGCCAAACACCUAAU